rnacentral:rRNA from 1 species
AUUGAACGCUGGCGGCAGGCUUAACACAUGCAAGUCGCACGAGUGGCGGACGGGUGAGUCAUGCUUGGGAAUAUAGCUUAUGGCGGGGGAUCACUACGGGAACCUGUAGCUAAUACCGCGUACCCUAGGAUGAGCCCAAGUGGGAUUAGGUAGUUGGUGAGGUAAAGGCUCACCAAGCCGACGCUCUCUAGCUGGUCUGAGAGGAUGACCAGCCAAACUGGGACUGAGACACGGCCCAGACUCCUACGGGAGGCAGCAGUGGGGAAUAUGGCGUAAUGGGGGAAACCUGACGCAGCCAGGCCGCGUGAAUGAAGAAGGCCUUCGGGUUGUAAAGUUCUUUCGGUAGCGAGGCGUUAACUACAGAAGAAGCACCGGCUAACUCCGUGCCAGCAGCCGCGGUAAUAC